AUGGACCGCUCGGACACGCCGGCUCCGCCGCGCCCACCUGACGACUGCCCGCUACAUCUUGUUAGCC
rnacentral:sRNA from 2 species